rnacentral:lncRNA from 1 species
ACGCACAACUGUACUCCGAAUGAACACAAAAGCGCGCAUACGCCGAACCCCUCCACGAACACACACAAUACAGAUGAACACACACCCAGCACCGCACGUAGAGGCGCACGCUUAGCAUCCCAACCUCCCAAAACACCAUACGAACCGAGCCUGUUCCAGGACCUUGCAGACCGAGACGCUUCUCGUCCCCCGUGCCCGCAGCCACCCAGGGCGAGAAACCUGGGAGAAAGGGGGUCCCCGGCCCCCGGCUAGGACUCUACCUUCUCGGGGCACGCAGAGGCAGCAGCCGGAGCACUGGACUAGCUGGUGCAGGACAAGGUCCCAUUUAGUAAUCCAUGAUUGGGGGUCUCUCUGAGCGCCGGACUCCGCACUCUCCUCCUUCGCAAUUCUUUGUCAUUCCUACAUGGGGCUUCUUAUCGCGCGGAGGGGAGCGUAGGUGGGCGCUGUGGAAAAGGGUCCUAGUUUCUGGGAAACAGAUAGAAUUUGCUGUUCAUUUCCAAUGAUGGGAGAAAGGGGGAGGGAGGCUGGCAGGGCGGGAAGCCAAAGAAACAAACCCAGAAGCAAAAAGGGGUCAUACAACACUUCUAACGAUCCCGAUCUCACUCCAGUUCCAAGCAGAAGUGCUGCCGCUGCUGCUGCUGCUGCUGCUGCUGCUGCUGCUGACCGUCGGCGGUGUUGACUGUCUCAGAAAAGUCCUAAACGGGCAUCGCUCUGCUGAUCCCAGCCGAAGAGCGCCGCUGCUCCCAGCCCGAAGCGCCUGCUCAUUGGAGUGCGUUCGGGGAGGGGAGUUCAAACAGUCCCCUGCGCUCCGGCUCCGGCUCCCGCUCCGGCGAACGAAGCGUCUUCAGGGUGGGACCAAAUCCCGGACUGGAUCGCCGGCAGGUAGUUCGUGUUUUGAGGUUGGGAAACUAGAACUUUCUCCGCAGAGCCAUGCCAAGGGUGUCGGAGAUGUGGUUGAGACCACAGCACAGGGGUUGGUGCGUGAGCAGAAGCAGAAGAAUGAACACCCAACCUGCGGUCCUGAAAUUUCCAGGGUCAUUUUCUCACCAGGUCUGAGUCAACAAAGCUGA